AGGACCCUCAGCCUCACCACAUGGAGCGGCCACUGGGCCCUGCCUCCACUGUGCACGUGGCCAUCUUGUGGUGGUGAUCUUGUGGUGGCCAUCUUGUGGCAGCCAUCUUGUGACGACAUCAUGCGCGAGGGCGUAAGGACCACCUAGCCUUUGGCCCUUUGAGUGAUCCACUGUGGAAAACAUCUUGCAACUACCCUGGGAUCAACCACCACCAGAUAAUGAUCGUGGGACAACUGACCUCAUCCUCAUUCCCAAGCCCUACACUUGCCCCAAGGACUGAUAGAAGCCAUCCACAAGAACCCUGCCAGGAACUUGGCUUCUCUUUUCUGGUGGACUCCAUUGUGCACAAACUCUUUUCAAUAAACUCUAUCUGUUUGAUACUGGACAGAAUUCAGUGCUUAUCUCUAUGACAUUGAGACCUAGAAACCUGGCAUUCAAAGUCUGCUAACAUGUAGGCAAACUUUAUAAAUUAAAAAUAUCUCACUUAUGAA